rnacentral:misc_RNA from 1 species
UCUGGUCCAUUUCUUUCACUUUGUGGUUCACAAUCGUCGCUCCUGUAGUGAUUUUCUCACUAAGGCCAUAUUUUUGGUCUAUAGAAGCAACUGUGGCUGAGGUAGUGGAUGUGAUCUUGUGUCUCUCGUCUAGUGCCUUGGCUUUGCCAACUGCGUCCUUGCCCAAGAUAAAGCCCUUUGCCAACAUGCUGCUGACUACAUCCUCUGCCUUUUGAAUAGCAGAUCCAGCAGCGGGUGCAGUGGUGGUUUCAUUUGGAACUGGUGAUACUGAAGCUGUAGGUGGGAGCUUG